AGAGUUUGACCCUGGCUCAGGAUGAACGCUAGCAGGACGCCUAACACAUGCAAGUCGAACGUUCCGAUUUAUCGGAAAGUGGCAGACGAGCGAGUAAUAUGCACUUAACUUGCCCUUGAGAUGAGAACAACUAUGGAGACAUAGCUAAUUCUCAAUAUGCUCACGAUGGUGAAAUCCCAAUGUGAGGAAAGAUUUAUCGCUCAAGGAGAGGGGUGUAUCCUAUCAGGUAGUUGGUAAGGUAACGGCUUACCAAGCCUAUGACGGGUAGCCGGUUUGAGAUGAUGAUCGGCCGCGAUGGGACUGAGACACGGCCCAUACUCCUACGGGAGGCAGCAGUGGGGAAUAUUGCACAAUGGACGAAAGUCUGAUGCAGCGAUUCUGCGUGGAGGAUGAAGCAUUACGGUGUGUAAACUCCUUUUCUGGUAGAAGACGAAUGACGGUAUACCAGGAAUAAGGGACGGCUAACUAUGUGCCAGCAGCCGCGGUAAUACAUAGGUCCCAAGCGUUAUCCGGAUUUACUGGGCGUAAAGAGUCUGUAGCCUGAUAUGUAAGUCUGUUUUCAAAUACUCCGACUCAAUCGGAGAAAGGGGAUAGAUACUGCAUAUCUGGAAGUUAUUGGGGGUUAGUGGAAUUUCCGGUGGAGCGGUGAAAUGCGUUGAUAUCGGAAAGAACGCCGAAAGUGAAAACAGCUAACUACAAUAAACUUGACGGUCAGAGACGAAAGCUUGGGGAGCAAACGGGAUUAGAUACCCCGGUAGUCCAAGCUGUAAAUUAUGCAUGCUAGAUGUUUUGCCCCGAUUUUCGGGGUGGAGUGUCGUAAUCUAACGAGUUAAGCAUGCCGCCUGGGUAGUAUAUUCGCAAGAAUGAAACUCAAAGGGAUAGGCGGGGGAACACACAAGCAGUGGAUUAUCUAGAUUAAUUGGAUACUAAGCCAAAAAUCUCACCUAAACUUGACAUGUACUAUGUCCUAUGUGAAAGCAUAGUAGUCCAAGUAAUUGGACGUGGUACACAGAUGGUGCAUGGUCGUCGUCAGCUCGUGCCGCAAGGUGUCUAGUUAAGUCUAGAAACGAGCGCAACCCUCAUCUUUAGUUAGAAUGUCUAAAGAGACUGCUUCGGUAACGAAGAGGAAGGAGAGGAUGACGUCAGAUCCUCAUGCCUCUUACGUUUAGGGCUUCAUAGAUAAUACAAUGGGUGGUACAACGAGAAGCUAAGCCGCGAGGUGGAGCAAAACUCUAAAACCAUCCUUAGUUCGGAUUGUAGUCUGGAACUCGACUACAUGAAGUUGGAAUUGCUAGUAAUGGCGGGUCAGAAUACCGCCGUGAAUAUGUCCCUGUUCCUUGCACUCACCGCCCGUCAAACCAUGGGAGCUGAGAGCCUCUGAAGAUGUGCUUUGCAUGUUGAGGAGGAUAUUAGUGACUGGGGUUAAGUCGUAACAAGGUAUCCCUACCGGAAGGUGGGGAUA
rnacentral:rRNA from 1 species